rnacentral:piRNA from 1 species
AGCACGGAAUACAUUGUCAUAGAGCACUUG